rnacentral:rRNA from 1 species
AUUGAACGCUGGCGGCAUGCUUUACACAUGCAAGUCGAACGGUAACAGGUCUUCGGAUGCUGACGAGUGGCGAACGGGUGAGUAAUGCAUCGGAACGUGCCCAGUCGUGGGGGAUAACGCAGCGAAAGCUGCGCUAAUACCGCAUACGAUCUAUGGAUGAAAGCGGGGGACCGUCAGGCCUCGCGCGAUUGGAGCGGCCGAUGUCAGAUUAGGUAGUUGGUGGGGUAAAGGCCCACCAAGCCAACGAUCUGUAGCUGGUCUGAGAGGACGACCAGCCACACUGGGACUGAGACACGGCCCAGACUCCUACGGGAGGCAGCAGUGGGGAAUUUUGGACAAUGGGCGCAAGCCUGAUCCAGCAAUGCCGCGUGCAGGAAGAAGGCCUUCGGGUUGUAAACUGCUUUUGUACGGAACGAAACGGUUCUCUCUAAUACAGAGGGCUAAUGACGGUACCGUAAGAAUAAGCACCGGCUAACUACGUGCCAGCCGCCGCAGUAAAAC